rnacentral:rRNA from 1 species
CGCGUAAAUUACCCAAUCGCGACUCGCGGAGGUAGUGACAAGAAAUAACGGACCGAAGCCUAUGUUUCGGGAUUGCAAUGAGUAGAAUUUAAACCCCUUUACGAGGAUCAAUUGGAGGGCAAGUCUGGUGCCAGCAGCCGCGGUAAUUCCAGCUCCAAUAGCGUAUAUUAAAGUUGUUGCAGUUAAAAAGCUCGUAGUUGGACUUCUGGGAGGGCGCCAAUGUCCGUUGCUUAACGUGUGCAGCGGCACCCUUCCAUCCUUCUGUUAACGUUUCUUGGUAUUCAGUUACUGGUUUCGGGCUCAGAUAUUUUACCUUGAGAAAAUUAGAGUGUUUCAGGCAGGCUUGCGCCGGAAUACAUUAGCAUGGAAUAAUAGAAUAGGACUUUAGUCUCCUU